rnacentral:rRNA from 1 species
GACGAACCGUGCAAACGUUAUUCGGAAUCACUGGGCUUAAAGGGCGCGUAGGCGGGCGGUCAAGUCAGGGGUGAAAUCUUUCGGCUCAACCGGAAAAGUGCCUUUGAUACUGGCCGUCUGGAGGGAGGUAGGGGCGUGCGGAACUUUGGGUGGAGCGGUGAAAUGCGUAGAUAUCCAAAGGAACACCGGUGGCGAAAGCGGCGCGCUGGACCUCUACUGACGCUGAGGCGCGAAAGCCAGGGGAGCAAAGCGGG